AUCAAAAAACAAAAAUAAAAAAAGCAUCAGUUUCAUUACUCACUCUCUCCCUCUCUCUCAAAUCCCUAAAUUCUGUUCAUAUAUCAGGUUUCAAAUCCCUAAUUUCUUUUCAUCACUCACUGUCUACGGAUUCGAUAUUCUGAUCUGUGGUUCAUCAUUGUCUCAUAGCAUCUCUCUCCGUUGCCGCGUCAUCUCUCUCGAUUCUCCGAUUUCCCGGCGACUCUCCGGUAGCGAUUCCGAUUAGUGAAACUUGGACCAGAUCUGUUGGGAUGUGAUCAAAUGUAAUUAUUUUUCUUUCUUAAUGGCAAGACUAUCUUGCAGCACUGGCAACGACUGACUUGGCUUAUAGUGUCAUCUUAGACCAUACUCUUGUGGAAAAGGAGCGCAGCUUCUCAACAGGUAUGCCCACAAGAGGCAGAGGAUGAGCAGGGUAUGUACCUAGACCCCAUGCGCCUACACCCCAUGCAUCCACUAAAUCAGUUCGCUCAUCUACUCAAUCAACACCUGGACUUCAUGCAUCCAUUAAAUCAGUUCGAUCAUCUACGCUGCACCCAUUUACAUCAGAAUCGGUACAUGAAGUUACAUCACAAGUUUCACACUCGGAUACUUCUAGCACACAUUCCAGCACUGAUGUAGGCACAUCCAAGGGUAAGAGAGGACGUGGGAAGUCACGAAGCUUGCUCUAGAUGCGUACAGGGUUAGGGUUUGAUUGAGCUGACUCAGGUGGGUUUUGACUUCUUUAGGUGUUUUGUGGUUUUUCAAAAAUGUGGAGGGAUGCUGGAACUCCUGCUGAUUCUUUCUGAGGUUCGGCCCAAAUGCACCGAUGUUUCUAAAACCAAAUUCCAAAUCAAGGUCCUACAAGCUUGCGUCGAUUUGAAGCUUGGGAGUUCUUUGCUAGAUUUUGAAUGCCAUUUCAACGAAACUAUUGAGAAGAAGAUGCAAUGAGUUGAGUUGUGUUGUUAUGUAGGUAGAUAUAACUCCAAUUACAAUAUGUUGAAUAGUAGAAUGCUACAAACAAUGCUUAUGGUACUAGCCUUAUAAAUUGGAAAUCAUACUUUUGAAAUCUCUGUCAGUUUAUGAUAUAUAAUCAAAAUAUUACAUACUAAUAAAUCAGAGCAUGGUAUU